GUCAGUAAGAUCAGUACAUUUAUUUACAAUUGUUAAAAACUUAAUUCUGACAUGAACAUUUCUUACAUUCUUUUACAGAUAUUGCACUCACUGUUCAAGCUAAUGCAAGGUAAGUUGGCAAUACUUCAUCACAGCACACCUCAAAGAUAUACAGCAAUAAGUAUGCAUUCACAUGUGCAUCGUUUGUUUACUGUAGGUGCCAAAGCAUGAGGUGGUUAUGUAAAAAAUGCAGCUUUCAGUCAAACCGAAGACUACAGCUAUUAAAACACUUAAGGCUCAAACAUGGAAAUGCAGGCCGUCAAUCAUCAAUACCAUGUCUUUAUGCUGAUUGUCCUUGUUCAUUUAAAACAUUUAAUGCCCUUCAGAUACACUUAUCCCGAAACCACAUGGAAUCAGACAAACCAAGCGAGGUGCUGUCAUUUAGUUGUCUAAUAUGCAGUUCAACCCCAUUCUCUUCGGAGAAGCAAUAUUUUGAGCACCUUAGAAGCCAUAUGAGGAGGUACGAGGUAGUGACAUGUGUGUUCAAAAACUGCAACUUCAGUACAAACAUUUAUUCAACCUUUGCAACUCAUAAACACAGGAAACACAAUACACACUGCAUUGAAGAUUUUAAAACUGAAGUCUUGAAAAAAUACCCAAAUCCUGCUGCUUUUCAAAAUCUAGAGGUCUCUGAUGAUGACAUAGAACUUGAUGAAACUUUGGUUGAUGCAGGAGAGAACUUGCCUGAAGUUGUAAAGAAGAAGUUUGGACAACUUCUUCUAAAGUUGCAAAGUCAUUUCAAUGUGUCAGGCAAGUGUAUUGAUCAAAUUGUAGAUGACCUGCAGUUCCUAUCUUCCUCUGCAUCGGCCCCAGCUUUGAAAGAUGUUGUUGAGUCCACUUUGAAGAAACAUAACUGUGAAGUACAUUCAGCGGUUAUCUCAGAUUUGGUGAAAAAUCUUUGUGAAUCACACCCUUUAAGUUCAGCUCUAGGGAAAGAUGGCCCUUUUUCAACGUCAUUUAAGAGGUCACAAUUCAUGAAAGCAAAUUUUUCAGUCGUUGAACCAGUAGAAUACAUACUACACAAUAAAGACAACAGAACAUUCCAGUAUGUUCCAAUACUUCAGUCGUUACUGCAAAUCUUGAAGAAUGUAGAGGAAAAAGACUUGUUUAGUCAAAGAAAAUCUGGAUGUGCAUCACAAUACCAGUCCUUCCAAGAUGGAUCUCACUUCUGUAAAAAUGAUUUUUUGGCUGGAGAUGAGGACAGAUUAAGUCUUAUUCUGUAUAUCGAUGACUUCGAAGUGUGCAACCCAUUGGGAACUUCCCGCAAGAUCCAUAAAGUCACUGCCGUUUAUUGGGUGUUAGGAAACUUUCCAGCAAAUGCACGAUCAACACUAGCUUCUAUUAAUUUAGCUAUUCUGUGCAAAGCAGAUGACACAAAGCGAUUUGGAUUUCAGAAAGUUUUAGAGCCCCUCCUGACAGAUCUUCAAAGUUUGGAAAAAGAUGGUGUUUUUAUUCCAAGUUUAGGAAAAAUCAUGAAAGGCACUGUAGUGAGCGUGGUGGCUGAUAAUUUGGGGGCCCAUUCUUUGGGAGGAUUCGUUGAAAACUUCACAGGAUCUAAUGUCUGCAGAUUUUGUCUUGGAGAAAGGUCCCAGUUUCAGACCACAGAAGUAAGAUCUGGACUUUUUCAGAGGAGAAAUAAAGAGCAGCAUACUCUGCAUGUUGAGACGGCUUUGUCAAGUCCCAUUUCCACUCCUUGCUAUGGUGUAAAAAAACAGUGUGCACUGUCUGAAAAACUACAACAUUUUCAUGUAACAUCUGGUUACCCACCAGAUGUGUUACAUGACCUUCUUGAAGGUGUCGUUCCAUUGGAACUGGCAUUGUCAUUUCAAGCCUUCAUCAAGAAGAAAUAUUUUUCUCUUGUGGAGCUCAAUACUUGCAUUCAGCAGUUCCCUUAUAAGUGGAGUGACCAAACAAAUCGUCCACAUGUGAUUCCUAGUCAUUUUGCCACAAAAAGAACUGUAGGAGGGAAUGCACAUGAAAAUUGGUGUCUGUUGCGUUUGUUGCCUCUCAUAAUAGGUUUGAAAGUACCUGAGGAUGAUGAAGUAUGGCAGAUGUUAAUGACCUUAAAAGACAUUGUGGAACUUGCAGUGGCCCCAGUUCAUACUGAGCAGAGCAUCUGCUACCUUGGCACUUUAAUAUCUGAGCACCGAAACAGAUUUCUGGAAGUUUUUCCUCAAGAAAAGCUCCUCCCCAAACACCACUUUCUCGAGCACUACCCUGAGCUUAUUCAGGAAUUUGGUCCUUUGGCAGCCCUGUGGACCAUGAGAUUUGAAGCUAAACAUAGCUUUUUCAAAAAAAUUGUCAGACAAACAGGCUGUUUCAGGAACAUACUGCUGUCCCUUGCAAAAAAACACCAGCUCAUGAUUGCAUUGCAUCUCCAUGAUUCAAAUGUGACAAAGUCAUCACUUUCAGUCACAACAACUUCACAAGUCUCUGUGGAUGUGCUACAGGAUGGCAUAAAAGAUUUGGUCCAACACAGGUAUCCACAUGUCACAGUGGUGCAUGUUGCAAAAAAUGUUCACUUCUCAGGCACCAACUACAAACCAGGGAUGUUGCUAUGUCAUGGUUUCACCGCAGACUUGCCAGACUUUUCUGAGGUGUUACAGAUUAUCUUGGUUUGUAACGAACUGGCCUUCGUUAUCAGACUACUAAGCACAUGGUACAAUGAGCACUUUAGGAGCUAUGAGUUGGAACACACAGGCAACAUUCAGAUACUGGAGCAAAAAGAAAUGAUUGACUACUAUCCUCUGGCUGCAUAUACUGUUGCAGGAAGACGACUGACUACCUUAAAGCACUACAUUUCCGCUUCUGUUUAGAUGUGCACCCCAGCAAAGCUGCGAUUAGUUUUUGGAGAGAAUGAUGUUCGCAAAUUGGUUCUGCCCUCAGGCAUCCCCAGUACUCUCCAGGACCUCAAAAGUAUAAUCCAAGAAACAUUCAAUAUUCCAGAAUGCUUUACUUUGAUGUAUGAAGACAUGGAAUUUGGGGGCCAGUUUUUCAAUUUGGACUCCGUAGAUGAUGUACAGGAUAAAUGUACUCUGAAAGUAGUACAAACUGAACCCAUCACCCUCAAUCUGGUUGUUAUGAAUAGAUCAACUCUACCAACAGAGUCCGAUGCCAGGUCAUGCAGUUCUCAGGACACUGUUGUGCCAACUCCUCUAAGUGACACUUCUUCUGACUCCACAUCCAGCGGAUCUCAGGACACUGUUCUUCUAUCGUCCUCUGAGACUACCACAUCAUGCCGUUCUCAAGGAUGGCCAAGAAAGUUUAUAGUACUUACUUUUUCAUUUGAUACUGAGCUCUUGCUUUCAGAUGGAAACAAAGCCUACCAAAAGGACGGCACCCUCUUGAACAAUCAUAGAGUGACAAGUAGUGUCCUUGAGACACUUGCAGAGACGAUAUUUCUUUACACUGCAUAUCCAACGGGUGUCCAAAUUAUGAAUGUAGUGGAGAUGUUGAUUGAAAAGUACCCAUGCCUCAAAGAGCCAGGGUCCUUUAAUGGACAAUAUGGAUGGCAGCAAAGGAUUAAAUAUAAAAUGGGAAAUUACCGAGCCAAAUUAAGAGGUAGUCAGCUUUCCUGCCCAGAGCUUGAGGUGAACCAAAAAAAGAAGACAAAUGAAAACUCUACUCCAAAAGGCGUCAAAAGACCUAGGAAGGCUGAAGUAAAUUACUUGCCACCAUUUCCAUUUGGGGAAACAGAAGAAAGUUUAGAGAAGGAGAGGCUAGAUCUCCUUAAUGAAAUUAGGAAAAAAAACAACAAAAACAUAAUUGGUGAGAAAAUGGAGAAGACUUUCUCCUAUCGAAGAAAAGAAGUAGUUAAGGACUGCCCUGCUGUUAAAGAUUUCAUGGAGAGAUGGCCAGCCCUUUUUUGUGAAUCUGAGAUAAAAAAUGAAUUCAGAAGAAUCACCACAAUUUCCUUGGAGCGUACAUUCUUGGAAAAGCUGGACUUCUAUACCCCAAAACUCCUGGCUUUGUUUGAGAUGAAGGGUGGGGUUGCUGGCAUAAGAAUAAAACCUUUGUUGGAUUCACUCAGCCAGCAAGAAAAUAGGCUUGAAGAUAAGCGAGAUGUUGUGAUUCGCUGCCUCCUGUCCUUCCUGGGAGAAUCAGCUGAGGAGCUCAUUGAAGACCACCAGGAUAUCAGCAGAGACGUGAUUAAGGAUACCUUCUCCAGUCAUGUCAUGAAAAUCAUCGUACUCGGCAGGUCUGUGGAAGAAGAUGCCAGUAUGUCUGAUGUCAUCAUUGUCAUCGAGGGAACAGAGGUGCUGCUGGGAUGUAAAAAUCUCACAAAUGCUUGUCUUUCACUCAUGGGCUGCAUUUACUCCCUAAACUUAAGCUAUCCCCCAAAGCUGAGAAACACAUUCGAAGUGUUUCAGAAAAUCUUUCUUGGGCUAGAUGCUUUUAAAUUUUCUCCAAAGGUUAACUCUUUGCAUAGAAAGCUUCUAAUGUAAUUUGCUAGUUGGGCACUACUUGCACUUAUUGUACUGUUUUUGUUUGUUUGUUUUUUACAAGAAAGGUUGUUCAAAAAACAACUUCAACUGCAGUACUAUUUUACAUUCUUAUGCCAUUCUUAUGCAUUUUAAGUAAUGCAAUUCUGCUGGAGACCAUAGAGUUUUACUAUUAUUUUAUUUGAUGUUUUUGUUCCUUUAGUUUAAUCUUAUUAAAAUUAAAGUAUACGCUGGAAGGCAGCUACUAGUUUGACAUUAUUUGCACUUAAACUUUUUUUGAUGUCUGCAACUGAGGUUGUUGUAAAUUGUUUUUUUUAUAUGUUUAUAGAAAGGUUUUAUCUUUAAAUGUUUAUGCAUUUUAAUGGACUGUGUGGUUGUUCUAAAAAGAGUUUACUGGAGUAAAAUCCACUAUAGUGCACCAUUUACCAGAACCAUACAACCGA